UACGAGGGGGGCAAGCGGUUGUUCGGAAUUAUUGGGCGUAAAGGGUGCGUAGGCGGUUUUGUAAGUCUUGUGUGAAAUCUUCAGGCUCAACUUGAAGACUGCACGAGAAACUGCAGGGCUUGAGUGUGGGAGAGGUGAGUGGAAUUCCGUGGUGUAGCGGUGAAAUGCGUAGAUAUCAGGAGGAACACCUGUGGCGAAAGCGGCUCACUGGACCACAACUGACGCUGAUGCACGAAAGCCAGGGUAGCAAACGGG
rnacentral:rRNA from 1 species